UCUCUAGAGAAGGUGAUGUCUGCAGC
rnacentral:piRNA from 1 species